UGGCAGGAGGUUUUUAGGAUGCGCAGGAUAUAGGGUAAGAGAAUUUUUUCUUUUUUUUUGUUCAAAUUAAUGUGUUUGAAGAAUGUAAAAUGUAUGGGUUGUUGUAAAGUGUAAAAAUGGCUUUCGCAUUUUGCAAAAUGCUAAGAACAAGGGAUGUAGUUUUUUUUUUAGUGGAUUGAUUACAGGUCACCCGGAUGGAUAAAAGAAUUGAUAGUUGAACUCGUGAA
rnacentral:misc_RNA from 1 species